AAAUGUACGCUCAAUAUAUAUUCUAACAUGCAUCUUGCACGAAUAUUUUAUUACUGGACACAUCAUUGUACAUUGUUCAACAUGAUGGGGUAGACACAUUCUAGUCAUUGCAUACUAUGCAAUGACAACUCCAAAGGGAAGCGUUGACAGGUACACAAUAAGCUUUCUUGGUGUGAUCUCCCCAGGAAUCUCGGCAGGCAUUCUGGCAACCUAAUUCUAUGCAAAUAAUGCCGGAAUAAGGAACGUGCACUUCACACAUUUCUGUAGACACGAAUAUACAUCAUUAAAACAAGUCCAAAUUGAGAAAGUUCUAAGGAAAUCCAUGCAGUUCAGCUAACAGUACUAGUUUACUCUGGGUGGCAUUGGAAAUGAAUCAUACAUAGGGACAGGGAGAACAAUUUCGUACCAGCAUGAGCAGAAUUUCCUAGCAGCAAAAGCACAAAAAGGCAAAGAAGAAUAGUUUUCCGCUCCAUAAGAUCAAUGCAAGCUUGUUUUUCUUGUUUAUGUUUGGGCGUCC
rnacentral:lncRNA from 1 species